UGCAGCCUGCACAACUCAGAGCCUGGAUAGAGGUGUGGGGGACUCUGCCUCUGAACACUGCAGUGCCGUGCAGCCCCAGAUAACUUAUCAUCCCUGUCUCUAGUGGAACAAGCAUAAACCCACAGGGAGGAGGAAGAAGGGGUCUUAGUGGAAGGCUGAGCAUAGAGCCAUGUGUGGCCAUGGAGGGUCUACCCAUUCUGCGGAGGGUUCGGUGGGUCACCCCCUCUCUUGGAGAGGCCUGGAGCUGGAAGAACCGUGUUGGCAGGAGAAGGAGACUCUGUGAUGGGAUCUAAUCAGGAAGGAGGACACAAGGCACAUAGGCAAAUGAGGCAUCAAUCAGGACACAACAUAUCCCUUUCUCGUCGUUAUGCAAGACUGAAAAAGACUGGAUCUACAGUGUGUCCAUGAAACUUUGGCUCUGACACAUUCUUUGAAGGUCUUGUGACCCAAACCAUAGCUGGGUUUUCACCCACAAACCACAGCUGGUUAGGAGCAUCUCUCCUCACCUCCAAGUCAGGGGCAGACCUGCAGUUACCCAACAGCGCUUUCACCUGCCUGUCUGUGGGAUUCCAGACAGAUUCCAGACGCUUCCCAGGCCAUCCAUCACCCAUGGGAGUGCCACAUGGAGAGGGAAUAUCAGACCACACAAUCACCAAACAUACUGGAUGACCCUAAAGUAUAGAACACGCAGAAUGUCUGUAUGUGUGUGUGUCCAUUUUCUCCUCAGGGUGAAUAAUAUGUAGCCAAUCCCCUUGCAUAUUUAAUUCUGUCUAGGGUUUCCAUGUACCUAUUAUGUGUGCCUCUCUCGACUGGGAAAUCAAAUGCAAGCCUCAACCAAACAUAAUAUGAGAAUUUGGGCAGCCUGUGAUCAUUGCAUGGGUGAAUGGAAUUUGUAGUUUUGUCUUUGGAGGGAACUUGCAUUAUCGUAAUUCGUAAUUAUUAAAGGGGCUACAAUUACCAAUCCCACAACCAGCGCAAUAGAAGUCAGUCAUUAAUGCAUUAUAAUUAGCCUUUUAAAGGGAAUUAAUAUAACAUACACUCAGUGCACAAAACAUUAGGAUCACCUUCCUAAUAUUGAGUUCACGCCCUUUUGCCCACAGCACAGCCUCUACAAGGUGUCGAAAAGCGUGCCACAGGGAUGCUGGCACAUGUGGACUCCAAUGCUUCCCACAGUUGUGUCAAGUUGGUUGGAUGUCCUUUAGGUGGUGGACCAUCCUUGAUACACACGGGAAACUGUUGAGCGUGAAAAACUCAGCAGCGUUGUAGUUCUUGACACACUCAACCCGGUUUGCCUGGCACCUACUACCAUGCUUCCGGUGGCGCUGCACGGCCAUUUUUUCUGUGGUUUCAGUUCGCUUUUUCUUGUUCUAUAUGAUACCCUAAUGUGGAUUAUUCCCCUACCCCUUUGUGGAUUAUACAUAUAAUGGACGUGAUACGAACUGUAUCCACAUGCGUUGUCUACUGUAGUUAUUGCUAGGGAUUUAUUUAUGUAUUUAUGCAUCUACUGGUGAUGCUGUGCUGUUGUUUGUGGGGAUGCAAGACACAUUUCCCGAAAGGGACACACAAUAAAUAAUUCAUAUUAACCCGUUCAAAGGAACCUAAACAUUUUUGUCUUGUCUCCUCCCCUUCAUCUACACUGAUUGAAGUGGAUUUGACAAGUGACAUCAAUAAGGGAUCAUAGCUUUCACCUGGAUUCACCUGGUGAGUUUAUGUCAUGGAAAGAGCAGGUGUUCCUAAUAAGGUUUGUACACUCCGCAUAUAAUACAACAUUCAGAACAUAUUUAGACACAAUGCUUUUGAUUAAGUUGCGCUCUCGGCUCCCAAUGGUCUCUUCUGUAGGUAAUAACAUGGUAAAUAUACCUGCAUUAUGUACGGCCCUAAUUGGUGCAAGUGUUCGAUGGUCUUAAUUUAAACGUUAUUGUAAAUGCUAUGUAUAUUCUCUCACCACGUGAAGAUUAGUUCAUUAUUUCAACAUGAAUAAAAUAAAGCCAAAUGUUU